AUGAAGCUUCCAUUGUAUGGUUGAUGGAGGUGGAGCUGCAGAAGAACAAAUUGCUCUGGAUGGCAUGCUAGACAUGUAAUCCUCAAUAUGAGCAAAAUUCAUUAGUACAAAAAAGAUAUUUUUAUAUAUUAGAUUUUUUUUUUAGAAGAAUAUAGAUUAGAAGUUAUUUUAAGCUUUUAUGGGUUUUAGAUUUCUCUACUAUUUAGACCAGUUCUCAGUUUUGGUAAAUCCCAAACUUAUUAGAUACUUGUUGAUCUGAUAAUAUGAUAGUAUAUCUCUUCCUUUUAAAUGUUAAAUUCAAUUGGUACUUCUUUGUGUUCAGAACCCUCAUCCUCAUUGUAAUUAUCGAAUUAUCAAAUAUAUAUAUAUAUAUAUAUAUACAUAAAUAAAAUAAGAAAGAAGUAUUGUCCAACAUUUAAUAUAUUGCAAGAAUAAUAUGUCAAGUGCAGUCUUAGUCAAAACUACUUCGAGUUCUCUAAGUGCAAUAGUUGCUAAUAUGUCUGGGACUUGGGGUGCCCAAACUAGUGCCAUGAAACGCAUACAUCGAAAAUCCAAAUAUGGAUUUUCAUUCUUGUAUUAGAAUCUACAAGAUGAAUAUGCAAGCAGAGUAUAAGUUUAUUAAUCUCAUGGUCUACGUUGGUUGUUUCAGACUAUAAUUUGUAGUAUGUUGAUUGUAAACAGGUUUACAGGAAAUUAAUUGUUACUGAUUCAACGAUUAGCACUUAUUAGAUAUCCCUUUGUGGUUGGCCAACUUUAUAUUUUCAUUACGAUUUGUUCUUGUAGCUUUGUGGUAGUCUGUUUUGUUAUAAAUCAUUGCAAAAAGUGUACAUUCAAUUACUACUUGCUACAUGGAUGUGACAUAUAAUGUAUCUGUAUUACAGUGAAAAGUGCAUUUUUGAACAGACUAAGUUUUUUGAUAAAAACAUGAUUUCAUCAAACAGAACAAGUAACAGCAUUAUUCAUCCAAGCAUCCCAAACAACACUGAGAUGGAAAGAUUUAUUACCAACCAGAACUCUUUUGUGGCACAACAGCCUUUAAGUUGAAUGGGAAUGUAAUUUUCUUUUUACUACACUCUUUUCAGGUUGUUACUUGUUAUACUGUCAUUUUAGUGCUUUUCACAGACUAAUAUGGAUUUAAUAACUUGUGUAUUGAAUUAAUAUUUUUAGGUGUUCCUGGAAGUACAGAAGGAAGUUUGAAAAUGUAGUUUCUUGUUUCUUGUGGAACUUCUAACUAUUAUGGGAGUGACACUAUGUUUCCACUCGCCUGUAUGUACUCAGAAUGUAGCAUUUUUCCCACUAUUGAGCAAUAAAAUCUGGCAAUUUUGAUCUUUACUAGACUUUUUUCAGCAUUUUUUUUUUCAAUUUUGAACAUUUUGGCUUACAAAUUUGUAUACUGUAGCUUGUAGCAGGGCUGGCACUAGGCUUAGGCCUAAAGCCUCCCAUGGCCUCUCAUACAAAAAGACCCCAAAAUUAUAUACUCACCCAAGGAAGCCCCUUAAUUCAGUUUCAAGAUAUUUAUUUUCUCCCCCUUCAAUAUCCAAAUUCACCUUCAUCUUCAUGAAUGGGUUUUAGAGAGCUGGAGUAUGGCAAUCUAGCUUUGUUAGUCAAGCAAGGUUGGCUUCUAAUCCACAAUCCAUGAUCAUUAUAAUUCCGAGUACUGAAGGCUAAGGUUUUUUUUCUUACAUAUCAUUCCUAGAAGCCCCAAUGCCCACCCAAUCAUCUUACACUUUGCAUAGUAUUGCAUAGGCAAGACAUGUUAUUAUUGGUUUAUUGUGGGAACACGUUAGGGUAUUGGCAAUGGGGAUAGCAUGCAAGUUUGUCAAGAUGGAAAACUCUAUAGACACCCAUUGCCAAAAUCCAAACAUACUUAAGUGACAACUUGUGAUUGGUGCACCAAAAUCAAGUUUUUCAUUAAGUUACAAAUGGUGGUCCCAUGUACAAGUGUUGAUAUCCAACCAAAAAUUGUCACCCAAGCAUGUUGUAGAUUUGGGUGUGGAAAUAGUUUUGCCCGUAGGCGGACUGUUGUCAAGACCGAUGGUUAUCAACCCCGACUACUUAUCAUGUCUAGCUUAACAUGUCAGCCAAUGCAACCACCCUUCGCUCCUUUUGGAAUUCACUCUAGUCUCUACAAAUGCAACCGAAAGUCAACUUCAUACAGAGAAUGUGUAAUGGAAUCUUGUCCACUUAAACAACUCUGUUUAAGAGAGGAGUCAUCUCUAAGAGUUAUGUGUGUUUUGUGCCAAGGAUGUAGAGACUGAUAUUCAUUCAUGUCUAAGGGGUCUGGAACAGAAGUACUUUACUAUUACAUCAACUACAGGAACACCCCAAGACUAGGUGGAUUUCUGUGAAGAUUGCCAUGACAAAGUUUUAAUCGCCUGACAUUGAAAUCUCUUUCUCGAUCCUAUGCAAUGCAUGGAGGCUGGGUGAUACACAUCAAUUUGGAGUCUUAGUGCAGCAAAGCGAAGAUGGCAAAAUUACAAUUUCAUGAGAUCAGAACUACGCAGAAUCACAAUGUUGUUCUGGGCCUUCUGGCUUCCAAAAUGGUCACAUCCUCUCUAGCAGACUGAUAUGUAAGUUUAGUUUGGCCAAUGCCUCUACCAAAUUGAGACUAUUAGGAGGAAUUGAAGCUGUGAUCCGUGAUGCAGCUAGACAAGUGUUGGUAGCAAUAGUGGAACCAUUACAACUGUGAUUGCUCCCUCCAUAAGCAUGUUAUAUUGUUAUGCACUACUUCAAGAUCUCCUCUACUGCAAAGAUAUGGGUUUUUGGGCACUGAAAGUUGACUGUGAUAAUAGGCUGUUUUACCUUUUGCUUACAGCUGUGGCACCAUGUUUCUCCAAACUGGGUCUGCUGGUUGAUUCAAUGUCUACUCAUGGGCUUUCAAAAGGUUUCUUUCAUGUGCAUCCAAAAGAAAUGUAAUUGAGCGAUACAAUACCUGGAAAAGCUACAGAGGCAUGAAGAAGUGAGAGCGGUUGAAUGUGAAGGAGAAAAAAGUAUCGAUGAUUUGGUUGAAAAAUUAACUGGGAAGUCUACA